AAGGGUAUAGCUUAGUGGUAGAGCACAUGCUUAGCAUGCAUGAGGUCCUAGGUUCAAUUCCCAGUACCUCCA
rnacentral:tRNA from 1 species